rnacentral:rRNA from 1 species
UACGGGGGGGGUAAGCGUUGUUCGGAAUUACUGGGCGUAAAGGGCUCGUAGGCGGCCAACUAAGUCGGACGUGAAAUCCCUCAGCUUAACUGGGGAACUGCGUCCGAUACUGGAUGGCUUGGAUUUGGGAGAGGGAUGCGGAAUUCCAGGUGUAGCGGUGAAAUGCGUAGAGAUCUGGAGGAACACCGAUGGCGAAGGCAGCCUUCUGGGCCAACACUGACGCUCAUGCACGAAAGCGUGGGGAGCAAACAGG